GAGACAUAUGUUGAAUUGAAUCAUUCGAGCAGCGGACGGGUGAGUAAAGCACAAGGACUUGUCCGAAAGAGAGGGACACCUGCGGGAAACCGGAGCUAAUACCUCAUAAGCCGGAAGGUGAAAAGCAGAGAUGCGCUUUUGGAGAGACUUGUGUCCUAUCAGGCAGUUGGUGAGGUGAAAGCUCACCAAACCGAAGACGGGUAGCCGGACUGAGAGGUCGACCGGCCACAUUGGAACUGAGAGACGGUCCAGACUCCUACGGGAGGCAGCAGUGGGGAAUAUUGGGCAAUGGGCGGAAGCCUGACCCAGCGACGCCGCGUGAGGGAAGACAGCCUUCGGGUUGUAAACCUCUGUUGCAGGGGAAGAAGGAAGUGACGGUACCCUGCGAGGAAGCUCCGGCUAACUACGUGCCAGCAGCCGCGGUAAUACGUAGGGAGCGAGCGUUGUCCGGAAUUACUGGGCGUAAAGGGCGCGUAGGCGGCGCUUCAAGUCGUCUGUCAAAUGGAAGGGCUUAACCCUUUUUCGCAGACGAAACUGGAGAGCUUGAGAAGCAGAGAGGCAAACAGAAUUCCUGGUGUAGCGGUGAAAUGCGUAGAUAUCAGGAAGAAUACCAGUGGCGAAGGCGGUUUGCUGGCUGCAUACUGACGCUGAAGCGCG
rnacentral:rRNA from 1 species